GUACGACUGACAGCAUCCCCAUCUCACCGCAGAGAGGCUGCGCUGAUGGGAAGUAAACUGUAUGCCGGUGGAUGAUGACACCAGACUUUAUUAAUGUUUAUUCAUUCUUCUACCGCAAGUUACUUUAUAUCAUGAAGAGAAAGAGGAGAGAAACCCUUCAUAUAAAGACUGACAAUUUCCAACAAAUAGAGCAGAAAGUGACAUUUUGUGCAGAUGCAUCGAUCAGACGCAGUCUUAUUGCUGUUUGAAAAAUAUCUGAUUCAACAGAAGGCUGAAAAUGUGUUUUCUUAUUUAAUCAAAAAUAAGUUUUAAAUAAAAGAGGGACUAAUCUGAAGGGUAAAAAAGGAGGAGGGGGCCUCUACUGCAGCAUGGCUCUCACAUUCCAGUGCGUCGCAGAAAAAAAGGGGGGAUUUAGAGCGACUUAUUUCCUUUAAAUUGUCCUCCGGUCCGCAGAGCCAGCCAGUCUGAGGAUGUUGCAGGCCUGCACCGAAAUGCACCGGGGAUCAGACCGAGGAGCCGGUGGGGUUUCAUCUGGGUUGGAUAUCCAAGUGAGGACAAACGAUGGAAGAAGACGAAGAAAGGGACCCGCCUGAAUCACUUGAUGUUACCUUAUUUAUUAAGAUUUCGAUCGGAGGAGGUGAGUUCAUGGAUCCAGAAGUUGGAUUUGUCUUGGACCUGAGAAGCAGAGAAAAGUUUUGCUGUCGGGAAAAGUUGCACCACAGGCAGGAGUUUGCAAACAAACAAGUUGAAGCAGUGAACACAGUCAACGUCCACUAGAAGUCAAGGUCAAGACGGGCUGACAGAGACAAACAAGAGGAGGGAAACUCACACUUAUGAGAAACGUCUGAAGGAAGCUUUGCAUGAAAACAUCCCUUCAAUUUUCAACUUUAAAACUCUUAAACAGUUUUUUUUGUAAUUGCUUGUGACUGAAACAUAAUUAAUUGACUGUGACUGGUUUUGCAAUUAAACUUCAAUGCAAAAAACCAUUGUUGCUUCUAUUGUUGAAGGUUUACUCUGUCCCCCUCUCUCACCAUUAGUAGCCCCUCUUCCUGUGUGCUCUGAGGAGUUUGCACGGCGUGGUAAAACCUGCCCUGCAGACCGGACCUUCCCAGUCUUCAAAGCAGGAAGAACUCAAUGCAAGGGGGAUUUGUUCAGGCUUAUUUGGUAACCUAGGAUUUGAAUUGGAUUCUUGGAGGCAUUCACGACACAUUUGAAAAAUGUUACAUUGUGCGAUUUUGUGUGUAAUCCCCAUAAUAAAUUUUUAGAAAUGGUCA